rnacentral:rRNA from 1 species
CCGAAUGCCGUCAUCUUAUACUUGGGAGUCAGACUGUGGGUGAUAAGAUUCAUAGUCGAAAGGGCAACAGCCCAGAUCGUCAGCUAAGGUCCCUAAAUGUAAGUUAAGUGGUAAAGGCUGUGGGAUUGCACAGACAACCAGGAUGUUGGCUUAGAAGCAGCCACUCAUUCAAAGAGUGCGUAAUAGCUCACUGGUCGAGUGAUCCGGCGCCGAAGAUUUCCGGGGCUAAAACUUACUACCGAAGCUACGGCAUCAGUAAUGAUGGGUAGGGGAGCUUCCCAUACGGGUUGAAGCAUGACCGUAAGGACAUGUGGACAGUAUGGGAGUGAGAAUGUUGGCAUGAGUAGCGAGAUGUGGGUGAGAAUCCCACAGGCCGUAAACCCAAGGUUUCCAGGGGAAGGUUCG